GUAAGAGAGCAAAGCAAGAGGGUGCUAGGACUUGAGAAAGGGAGGAACUCAUGAGAGCUAGAUCAUGAGGAGCUUGAGGAUUCAUCAAAUUUCUAAGAUAUCCAGAUUGACAGGUUAUAUGUUAGCUUGUCCGAGUAGCGUGGUGAAGCUCCGCUCUGAUUGUGACACGGGGA